UACGUAGGGGGCAAGCGUUGCUCGGAAUUACUGGGCGUAAAGGGUCCGUAGGCGGUGCGGCAAGUCGGGAGUGAAAUCUCUGGGCUUAACCCAGAGGCUGCUUCCGAAACUGCCGCGCUAGAGUGUGAGAGAGGCGAGUGGAAUUGCGGGUGUAGCGGUGAAAUGCGUAGAUAUCCGCAGGAACAUCCGAGGCGAAGGCGGCUCGCUGGAUCACAACUGACGCUGAGGGACGAAAGCUAGGGGAGCAAACAGG
rnacentral:rRNA from 1 species